AUGACAGACAUGAGAAAGCUGAGUUGGCUUCGCGCUUCUUGCGAAUGACAGGCGUUAUGGUCCUCGAAGGAAACCGUAGAGGUGGGAAACUUGAACACGGACAUAAGCGGAGGGAGUAGAAAGUGCAGGGAGCCCGGUAGCCGAACCCCAGUAUUCCAGGACCCAGACAAUCACAAGCUGAACAUAAGACAAGAGGAGCCUCAGGUAGUGAAGCUUUAAGAACAGGCUGCAGAGGAUCUUAUGUUUCCUUUAAACUUAUGAAGAAGCCAGUACCAGCAGAAUGGAAAUGAUGUGUAGCUGGAUUUUAAACAAAAUAAUUUUUUUAAAGCACAAGUUAGUAGGUUUGCCUGAUACAGAACCUGCUCUUCCUCCUCCAUGGUCCCUAGAGUCGCCUUUUCAGAACUGGACUGUUUACUCCAAAGCAUCUCUUGCUGCCUCAAUGGUUUUCUUUGCCAUCUUCAUCAUUUUACACCUUUGUAAAAGACCUACUGUCCCUACAAAGACUAUGGCCAGAAGAGCAUCAUCCCCUUUGAUGAAGGGUCCGGUUCUAUUUGAGCAACCCCUUCUAUUCGCAUGGAGCUAUUCUUUUGCUCUGCUGCUCAUACUUUGCCUGUUCGUAUCGAUUCCAUGGGAAUGGGUCCGUUUGUAUCAAAUUGAAGUGGCCAAGAAAGCAUCGGUCCUCUCAGAGGGUUAUUCCAGGAGUUGUUACCAAGCAGACCUGUCAUUCUGGGAAACGCUGAAGGUAUGGUUAUCCUGGAAUUUUUCCUGGGAAAGAGACUCAUGUGAGAGCUACUAUAAAGCACUAAUGGUGGAUCCUUUCUGGGAAGUAACCCCACUUAUGGCACACUUGAAUUCCUUAACUGUAUGACUCCAAACCACAAUUGCAGGGAUUGCUUGGAUAUAUCACGCUUUCUAUGAAAAAAAAAAAGAAAAAAGUUCUUCCUUAGUUGCCGUGUAGUCUUUUUCACUGCCAUUGUACAUUAUGUACCAUCUUAUUGUUAAGAUUCUGUCCUCCUCUGUGUACUGUGUUUCUGAGUUAUCAAUAGGCAAUUUCAGGUACAAUCUUAUUUUAAAUGUCAGAUGUUAAUCCAGUAAAUUGUAGAACCACAUACUGUACUUGGCUACUCUCCCAGAAUGUCCAGUAGAUUCCCAAAUCUGUCCUUAGAAAGUAGACCAACCUCCCAUGUCACAGCCACUUCCUUCCUUUAGCACGAACAGGCACUAAGCAGUAGGGGGCAUGAUGAGGCAAUUAACAGUUCCGUACCCCUGCACCCACUACCUACCGCAUCUCCUACAUGAAAUGUUGGCAAGUGUGACAUAUCAUAAUGAUUUAAUUAAUCAAAAUCUUUUGUAUGGAAAAAUUGUGAAUAGAAGAAUGUUUGAGCCAUAUGUUUGUGUAAUCGUAUUUUAUUAUUUUCCUUUGUUCAACCACAAAUGGAAAUACACUAUAGUUUUUAAAUAGUAUUGUGCAUCUACUACAGAUGUACAGUAGGUAGACUUAGUGUAUA